rnacentral:tRNA from 1 species
GCCUGGCUAGCUCAAUCGGUAGAGCGUGAGACUCUUAAACCAGCUAUCUCAAGGUUGUGGGUUCGACCCCCACGUUAGGCU